rfam:Aedes aegypti strain Liverpool supercont1.126 genomic scaffold, whole genome shotgun sequence.
CCUCUCAUGGCGUAGUGGUAACGGGCCCCAACUAGAGAUCGGGGAGUCGUGAGUUCGAUUCUCACUAAGAAGA